AAAUCUGAGACAGCCUUGGUCUGAGGGAGCAAAGACAGAGAAUUCACGUGCUGCCCAGGCAUAGCCACAUAGCAGGUGGACAUCCCUGGACACUUUUCUGAGAUUUUAUGUCAUAGACCCUCAUUGGAUUUUCCUGGAAGUACGGAGAGUUACAUCCAGAGAACUCUGAACAUUUUGGAAGGACCCCAAUCCUGCAAACAAUGAAUGGCAAUAAAUCCUGGGACUGGAAAGGGGCUUCUCAACCCCAAGGCAACCAUAAAGUCCUAUACAAAGAAAGAUACAGCAGUGUGAAAGAGGCCUGGAUGAAAAAACAAAGACAGAGCCAGUGAGCCAGAGCCAGAGCCAGAGGACAAGAGAGAAAGGCAGAGAAUGGAAAACACAGACAGAGAAGGCAGAUGCGUAGAGAGACAGAGAUUCAAUGAGAAAAUAAGGAAGGAAGAAAGAAAGAAAACAAAAACGUUCUCAGCACUACAACUUCUGCCUUGUUCUGUUCCAGAACAGUAUGAGCUCAGUACUUUUUCAGACUCUCAAUUUUCUACAACUAAUAAUUUGCUCUUUCAGUUAGUGGCAAAGGCUUAACGACAAAGGUUCAUCUUUAAUAUUAGAGAGGCACUUUUAAAAUUUAUGAUGCUAAGCCUUUUGUUCUGGAUAUGGUAUGUUGCACAGGUCUAGGG
rnacentral:lncRNA from 1 species